CAACAAUUGCACUGUGAAUAUAGCUAAUAAUUAUGUACAGGUUCACAAUAACAUGUUCAGCACCAUGCAUGUGUUUAUACAACACACUGUAAGUUAAGAGUUAUAAUUAUUGGGUGCACUGUUGAGUGGACUAUUUCAAUACAGCGGUAAAUAUGUAUUGGCUCCAGAAGCUAUGUGAUAAUUAUGGCUUCAUCGCUUUAUGUUGUCAAGUAACUUUUAGCUAUAGCUUUUUUGGGGGGGUUAGCCUGAUCUAUAUAACAUGUCUCACAUUCUCUCAACGUCAUCAUGCAGACAAGGUAACAGCAUACAAUUACAGAGAGUCCUUCCAGAUAGACACAGCAAAAACACUAGCUUAUGUUUUAUGAGAUGCAUCAUCGUAUUUUAGUGUUAAAAUGACAGAAAUUCUAUGAAAUUUCAAAAGAUACGUUUCAUUAAUUUUGACAUGUUUGUAACGAAUGUGCAUAUCUGGAAGGACUCUCUCCAAGGGCACCCUUGGUUAAAUAAUAAACAAGGGCGUAUACAGAAAAGAGGGCAUACAACUCGAUAUCAUGCAUGCACCGAAAUUCAAUAUAAGUCGAAGUGGUACAUGCAGACUAAGCUAGAAAGACAAAACGUUGUAUGCAGAUUGAGAGAAAAAAUUAAUGUAAAAGAGAAAAUGUAAAUGCUAUAGCUAUUAUCAUGUUAUAGUGUGUUCGAUUCUGAAUUCUUGAUGCGUUCGUGUUUUCUGUACACGCACAGAGGACAGAUGGGUUCGACGGGGUAGCAGAGUAUGUAGUAUAUGCAUGUUCUUUCGAAUGUGCCUCCCCAUGCAGAAGCCGUUAGCUGCUAGAUGCUGAGUUGCAUGCCCUCUCCCACCUUCAGCAGUCAAUACUUCCUUGAUAUACAUAUAAUUAUAGCUACAACCAUAAGCUAGCUAUAGCUCAUGAUAAACUGACAUUCUUCGCAUAAUAAUUAUGGGAAAGCACUUCAAUUCGAGUACAAAAAACCUGUAGUGCUAAAAAUAACUAUUAAUACGUUUAUAAUCAAGUAAGUGCUAAUUCUACGAAACUACGUAACUUAAAGGUACAUCCAUUAUACGUAACUAUAAUUAUAUUAAUAAUAGAAGCUCAUUGAUCCUUGAGCAGCUGUAUUAUAACAGCACUCUAGACAUACACACACACACACACACAGGGAAUAAUAACUCAGUACAACGAAUACUACGCUAUAAUUAUCCCUCAGGUGUGUAUAUGUGUGCAGCAAGGUAUACAGUAGUAUGUUUGUGUGUGUGUCUGUGUUUAUCUCUUUUUCUGGUAUGUCACAAAACACUAUAUAAUAAUGAAAGCACCGCGGGUGCUGAUGCCUCAGUGGAGGUGCCAAAGCUACAUAACAUAAAGCUAGUUUUUAUACACACAUUGAUUAUAAGUAUAAUCAUAUUAUUAUAAUGAUGAACAUCUUUAAUUUUGUUGCAUGCAAUCAACCAAAUAGUGGGUAAUGAUCAACCAUGAUCGAUGCCAAAAGUUCAAGUCUGGCUGCAAGUCAGCAGAGCCUUGCAGCUCUCUGCUCACUCUUGCAGCUACCAAUAGCUAGCAUUCUAGUGCAGAGCUAACUAUACUAAGUAGAGUAGUAACACUCGGUGAACAAGUUUUGCUACGGACUCUUCUGAAAAGGCUGCAAUGGCAUACCAAGUAAGCAAAACUAUAGGCAUAACUCGAGAACGAAGCAUUCUUUUGCAAAUCCACGAACAAGUAAACAUGACUAGAAGCCUAUAGAAACUCUUACUUGCACUUGAUUCAUCCUUGAGCAGCUGUAGCGGUCUAUAUACACACACACACAGACACACAAACACACUACCGUACACCUCGCUUGAGGCAUAAUUAUGAUACCACAAUAAUUACUCAAUACGUUUAUAAUCUCAAUUUAUGUACUAACACGUACCAAAUUGCAUUUAUUUCCUCUAUAGACUAAAGGCACUGUAUAGCUGAACUUAUAUUGAGCUCCACCCAUGCAUGCUGCAUGCAGGAAGUGAAUAGCUGAACCCUAUGUGACCUUCAAUGCAGUUUGCAAAACCAGCAUGCAUGCAAAAAAUUAUCUUUCAUAACGGGAGUCCAGCUACUAACUAAAAACUAUACUCUCUUAGGUGAAUAGCUAGUUCAGUAUUCAGCUAUAACAAGCUAAAUCUGAAUGGAGUGCUGAGCUCAACUGGAUCUUCAAGAACUUGGAAUAAAAGGACCUCAUUCAUGUCUCACAUUCUCUCAGCAUGAUCAGACAAGGUACUGAAAGUUCAACUAUUGGCGCUUCCAUUGGACCACCACCUGUUACAUCAUAUGACAUCAUCACUAUGAAAUGGCUGUCUGAAGAUGUGUACCUCCAAAAAUAUGUUAGAAAUAGAAGUAGCUUAUUAAUUUUGUUUGAGUUAAGAUCUGAAAUUUGUUGUGUAUGUACCUGAGUAUAUUGCUCAUCUUUUGAGCUUCAACGGAAGUCUGGGCUACUAGUAAGUUCUGAGAAAUACUGCAUUUGUUGU